ensembl:lncRNA
CGGCUCCUCAGCUCGCGGCCCCUGAAAGCAUAUUCUUUAUGAGUAGAUCAUCGGCAUGCUCAGUAAAGGGGUUGGAGGUAUAGUUCAGCAGCAGAACACAUGCUUAGCAUGUACGAGACACUACGUUUAGUCCCCAGCAUGUACACACACACACACACACACACACACACACACACACACACAGAAUGCCCAAUAAAAACUUUUAUUGCCUUUUAAUGCCCUUUUUAAAAUUCCUUUUUUUGGGCCAGGGAUUUAGCUCAGUGGUUUUGCUGCCUGCUGUGCAAGCGCAAGGACCAAUUUCGAUCCCCGGUACAAAAAAAAAAAAAAAAUUCCUUAUUUUCUACAUUCCUUUUAUAUGUUGGCUUGCUAUUUUGCCAGCUCCCUACCCCUAAAAGUUGUCUACAUACAUUAGCCAACAACUUGGCUCACUCUCUCCAUGUGGACUCUACCUUGGAAACACAGAUCAGCUAGCAGUAAAAGCUGACAGAAAACACUUCGAUUCUACUCUAAUCCAAGCUCCCAUUACCUUUCAUGUAAAUAUUGCAUGUGGGUCUCCGCACUUCUAUUCUUACCAGCCUCUACCCAUUUAUUUUCCACAACAAAAAAAAAUCCUUUCAUAUUACAUUACAUCCUACUUCAAACUUUACCAUUUUCUUUCUUUCUUUUUGGUACCGGGGAUUGAACUCAGGACCUUGCACUCGUGAAGCAAGCAUACCAUUUUAUUUCUAAUAACAUCCAAGUUCACCAUAUGGGCUUCUGCUUCAUUUGGUUCUAUCUCAUGUCUCACUCCCCCUGAAUUUUUACUCCUAUUCACCUGUAUUGGUCAUUCUUUGAUUCUUUUUACAUAUGAUGGGUUCCUUUUUCAUCAUAUUGGACUCAUAUUAAAAGUCUCCUCCUUAGAGGGAUCUUCUCUUAUGACCAACCCCAGUUAUGCAACUAUCAUUGUAUGUAUUUGUUUUCUUCUUAGCACUUUACAUUAUGGAAUUGCCCAUAUGUUUUUUUGUUAACGUUGUUAUUUAUUCUAUCCUCCACUUGACUUAAACUCUAUAAGUAUAAGAAAUUAUCUGUUUUAUUCACCAAUAUUCCUAGUUAGGUUCCUAACAGUGUCAGGCACAUAGAAAACCAUCAGUAAGUAUUUAUUAAAGGAAAAAGUAAAUGAAUGAAUAGUGUAUCAUUUUUUACUCAGAGGGUCUACCUACCUCCUAAAAUUGACAUUUUUAUUGUGAUUUCCAAGACAUGUACAUGUUCUAAAGAAACAUUCCAAAAGUCUUUCCCUGGAGUAUACUGGUGUAAUUCUAAAUCACUCCCUUUAUCUGGCCUUCAGGUCUUCUAGAUGACUUCCUAAUCAGUAUAGAUCCUUUUUAUGGAAUCCAUAAUGGUUAUAAAUGUGUGCCACUCAGUGCCUUAGCUGACUGAUCCUUUACUCUGCAUGGAUAGCAAAGAUACCAGUAACUGAUCAACCAAAGAUAUGAAGUCCAACAGAAAUAAUGUUUAAUGCGUCAGGCUGGCAUAGGGAAAACAAUUAUCUUUUCAAACAUAGAGGCCAUGUAAAAAAAGUAGUAGUUGGACAUAGACCUAUUAUGUGAAUUACUCAGAUAUAUAUCUUUUUAUAAGUACCACCAAUACUGAAAUCUAAGAAACCUUAGUUUCUAUAUCUGUAGUUUCUACAUCUUAGUUUCUACAUUCUACAUCUGUAUAAUCUUUAUAUUCCUCUAAAUUUAUCUGCAUCUUCAUGUGAGUGUUUCAAUGCACUGUACUUACUCAAUUUAUAUUCAUAAGUAUCUCUUCUUGUGAUGUCCUUAAGAUCAGCACUGUCUAUCACUGUCUUUUUUUACUCCUUUAUUCUAUCUUCAUCCAAGAUUUCUAUUUAUUCAUCUCCAGCUGCAACUAUGUAUCCUUUCACUCUUUCCCCCUUAAUGGAAUCCAGCUGACCAAGACCAUGAAAUGAGGGAAGAAAUUUUCAUAAACUCUUGACGUGGCCUAAUAAUCUAUAAAGAUUUAUCACAUUGUACUGCUGCACUUACAUUAUUACUGUCUGCCACUGGAUAAUCCAGGAAAUAGACUUCCUUGCUUUACUCUCCUGAGCUAGCUUUUUCUCCAGCUGUCUGUUCAUGGCCUUCUACUGUGUGUGUAUGUGUAAAUGUCCUCUUACAUGUUUGAUGUCUUAACUAAAUCAGUGAUAUUAAAUUGUUGCCAAAUUUUCCCUCUUUCAAUUUGAGGACCUAAUUUUCAAUGUGGACAAUCCUCACUUAUCUACAGCAAGUUUUUGUUCUCUUCCACUCUGACCGUCUGAGAUGUGUGCUUCGUAUGUUUCCAAGUGAUUAUCAAAUGUUUAGAGAGUGGUCCCAAGUCCCCUGUUCUGAGGAAAUGUUCAUGCUUGCCCUUAGGUAUCACUGAUGCAGUACUGCUGAGAUGGAAGGGAAGCAACAACUCUUGCUGAUAAGAUCUGAAUUCCCAAUUCCCUCUAAAAUCCUUUCCUUGAUGAGUCAUAUAUGCCUGGACCACCCGGGACUCUCCCCAUUUCACCUGUUUUUGCCUUUUCCAGCUUACGGAAAAGAAAAUUGAGGUCAAGGUCACACAGCUACUAAUGGCUAGAACCAGAGUUCAAACUGGAGUAGAUCUUCACUCCAAACGUUUACAUAGUAUGUACUCCAGGCUGACGCUGAGCUCGGUAUGUAGCCCAGGCUGGCCUUGAACUUGCCACCCUUCUCACUUAGCCUCCUGAGUGCUGGGACUACAGGGAUAUACUGGCACUCCCAGCCAGAAGUAAAACACUUUCCGAUGCCUGGACACCACAACACAGGGGCAAAUUUCCUCAGUGGUGUCAUCUGACUCCCGAUGACUAAACGUCACUUGGUCCUUGAGGGCCGAGUUCCACUGGGAAAUAGACAUUCCAAUGCUAGCUGGUGCUUCAGGUGAGAGUGAGCUUACCACACACACAGUGUGCUGCAGAAGUAGGCCUCUGUGGUGAAUACAGUUCUCUAAGAUCUACUUUGGCAUUUGGGUCCACGUAGCAAUUUCAUUUUCUUUCCCAUAUGUUUCAUACCAUUACUGAUCCACAAUGCCUUCUGCCCAAAAACAGAUGGCUAAACUCUCCUGGGGAAAUAAUCUUCAUUUGUAACUAGAAAUAUUUUCCCAUAAUCAGAAUUAGCAACUCCACUACCUAAAGAUAAAUUUUUUUCUGAGUAUAUUUUAAAAUAUAUAAUCAAUUCAAAUGUAUGAAAUAUUAUUCUUAUUAAUUAAGAACCUAAGAGGUCUCCCUAUUUAUAGCUCCCUUUGCAGUGUGUGUCAACUGAUGAUAAAAAUCUGGGAGAAAAGAAGUCCGAAGUUUAAAUAGGCUGAAGCUGUAGCUCAAUGGCACAGUGAAUGCCUAACAUGUAUAAAGGUCUGGGUUCAAGCUCCAGCAUCGCAGCAACAACAACAAAAGCUUAAAUAAAUAAUGACAUGAAAGGUCUAUUAAGUAUGCAUACAAGUCACCUAAGUAAAAAGGUAAAGAUGAAUCAUCACCUUCAUGAGUUUUUUUUUUAAAUAUGGCAUCUGGCACUUCAAAAUUCUUUCUGCUCUUAAGUGAUAUAAAUAGGACACACAUGGGUAAAUACCGAAUAGUUUCUCUGGUGUGAGAAACUGAAAGUGUAAAUAAGGACUAAAUGUAUAAUAGGUAAUGUGAAAUAGGAAGAAAAGGGGCAAAGGGGAAGGAAGUCGGAGGGCUAGGGGAAAGGACAGAAGGGAAUGGGAUUAAUAUGAGAAAAUGGAAAAACAGGAACAAAAUCUUUGUAAAUAGGGAGGACUGGAGGGGUUGAAGGGAGGGCUGGGCAAGGAUGAAAAAUAAGAACCAAGAGAGACUAUGUAAAGGUGCAAAUUUCCAAUGAUGAAUGUCAUUAUAUUGUAUACCUAAAAUGUACCAAUGAUUAGAACGAAAAAUUGAUAAUGUAAAAUAGGAAGAAAAGGUCCAAAGGGGUAGGGGUAGUGGGAGGGGCAGGGGAAAGGAAAGAAGGGAAAGGAAAAAAUGAUGAGAAAUGGAAAAAAUGGAAAUAAAGUCUUUGUAAAUAGGGAAGGGUGGAGGGCAUAAAGGGAGGGCUAGGAAUGGGGAAAAAAUAAGAACCAAGAUGCAUUAUAUAAAGGUACAAUUUCCAAUGAGAAAUGUAAUUGUGUUGUAUACCUACAAUGUAC